rnacentral:rRNA from 1 species
GUGGGUAACCUACCCUGUACACACGGAUAACAUACCGAAAGGUAUGCUAAUACGGGAUAAUAUGUUUGAGAGGCAUCUCUUGAAUAUCAAAGGUGAGCCAGUACAGGAUGGACCCGCGUCUGAUUAGCUAGUUGGUAAGGUAACGGCUUACCAAGGCGACGAUCAGUAGCCGACCUGAGAGGGUGAUCGGCCACAUUGGAACUG